CAAACGACUCUCGGCAACGGAUAUCUCGUCUCUCGCAUCGAWGAAGAACGCAG
rnacentral:rRNA from 1 species